rnacentral:rRNA from 1 species
GAGAAGAUAGUGGGCGAACGGGUGAGUAACGACGUGGGGUAACCUGCCCAUAAGAGGGGGGAUAACAUCCGGAAACGGGUGCUAAUACCGCAUAGUUUUCUUGAUUGCAUGAUCGGGAAAGGAAAGACGGCCUUUGUGCUGUCGCUUAUGGAUGGACCCGCGGCGUAUUAGUUAGUUGGUGAGGUAACGGCUCACCAAGACGAUGAUACGUAGCCGACCUGAGAGGGUGAUCGGCCACAUUGGGACUGAGACACGGCCCAAACUCCUACGGGAGGCAGCAGUAGGGAAUCUUCCGCAAUGGACGAAAGUCUGACGGAGCAACGCCGCGUGAGUGAAGAAGGUUUUCAAGGAUCGUAAAACUCUGUUGUCAGAGAAGAACAAGUUGGAGAGUAACUGCUCCAGCCUUGACGGUAUCUGACCAGAAAGCCACGGCUAACUACGUGCCAGCCGCAGC